AGACAGCGAGAGGGAGAGGGAGGGGACGGGACUGACCACUAGAUUACUCUAAGGACUACACUGUGCGUCGGAAAGCGCAAAAAUUGACCCAAACAAACACCUCAACAGGAAUAAAGGGAGCAAAUGCGCACGGACCGCCGCUACACACCCGCAGCCGCCGCACUCUUUUGCGUGUUUUUCUUCUUCGAUCUGUUUUUUUUUCCCCCUCCUAAUGACAUUUUGUCAUUUUCGGAGCUCGUGACUACCAGAAGGAGCGACUGAAAAGAAGACAGCAAGACUGACAAGCAGAGGGCGAGACACAGAGACAGACAGAGAGGGUGAGAAAGAGAGACAUAACGAUAGCUCGACUGAGGUGCUGUUGGGUUGCGCGCGCUCGCUUGGGCUGGACGGGCUGCACCUUUCCGGGAAACUAAAGCAGGGUUCAGAGAAGCAGACAGAUAUAAGCUAUACACAGCACACGAGCCAGCAUUAUCUAGACGUGUCUUGCGUUUAUUUUUUAGUUUAUCAUUUCUUUUCGCAGACAUUUAUCAGAAACACCACAGGAGACCAAGACAGGUGCGUUGUAGUAGCCUAAGCACAGCAAUGUGUCCAGUCUCAGGCGUGUACAGCUCGUGAUUUGACUCCAUGUUUUUUCCUCCACCACAUUAAGAAAUUUGCCACAUUCCUGCCUCUGGUCGGUUCGCGCGCGCGUGUUCAUGUGUGCGUUGAUUAACGCGCGCGCCACGCACGCACCGCAUCCACACAAAUCGAGCCAGACCCGACGCGAGCUCCUCCCCUCCCCAUCUUUCUCUCCCCGCCCCCUCCACCUCCUCCUCUAUGCUCAGCUCGGUGUGCGUCUCCUCUUUCAGAGGGCGCAAGGGUGGCAGCAAGUCGUGCGCUAAAGCAUGCGCGAGCGCCGACAUGACUUGCCCGUCGGACAGCGAGCGCAUCGUGAUCAACUGCGGCGGCGUGCGGCACGAGACUUACCGCAGCACGCUCCGUACGCUGCCCGGCACGCGCCUCUCCUGGCUCACCGAGCCCGACGCGUGCAGUAACUUCGACUACGACCCCAAGUCGGACGAGUUCUUCUUCGACCGGCACCCGAGCACGUUCGCCUUCAUCCUCAAUUACUACCGCACCGGCAAGCUGCACUGUCCCGGCGAUGUGUGCGGCCCGCUCUUCGAGGAGGAGCUCGCCUUCUGGGGCAUCGACGAGACGGACGUGGAGGCGUGCUGCUGGAUGAACUACCGGCAGCACCGCGACGCCGAGGAGGCGCUCGAUAGCUUCGAGACGCCCGAGCCGGACGCACCGGAGGACGAGGCUGUGGCGCUGGCCGGCGGCGGCGGAGGGGGCGGGGCUGACGGGGAUCUCAAGCGGCUGUGCCUGCACGAGGACGGCGGCAAGAAGAGCUGGUGGAGCGUGUGGCGGCCGCGCGUCUGGGCGCUUUUCGAGGACCCGUACUCAUCCAAAUACGCGCGGUACGUGGCGUUUGGCUCGCUCUUCUUCAUCCUCAUCUCCAUCUCGACGUUCUGCCUGGAGACGCACGAGGCGUUCAACACCAUCUACAACCGCACAGAGAAUGUGACGGUGGGCAACGUGACGCACGAGGAAGUGGUGUUCGAGGUUGUGACGGACAGCUGGCUGACGUACGUGGAAGGCGUGUGCGUCAUCUGGUUCACCAUCGAGGUGUUCACGCGCGUCAUCUUCUGCCCCGACAAGGCCGAGUUCUUCAAGAGCUCGCUCAAUAUCAUUGACUUCGUGGCCAUCCUGCCCUUCUACCUGGAGGUGGCACUGAGUGGCCUCUCAUCCAAGGCCGCCAAGGACGUGCUGGGCUUCUUGCGCGUCGUCCGCUUUGUGCGGAUCUUAAGGAUCUUCAAGCUCACGCGCCAUUUCGUCGGGCUGCGCGUGUUGGGCCACACUCUGCGUGCCAGCACCAACGAGUUCCUGCUCCUGAUCAUCUUCCUGGCUCUCGGGGUGCUUAUCUUUGCCACAAUGAUUUAUUAUGCCGAGAGGAUCGGCGCUGACCCCGAUGACCCUACGGCCAGUGCCCACACCUCCUUCAAGAACAUCCCUAUUGGUUUCUGGUGGGCCGUGGUCACCAUGACUACGCUGGGCUACGGCGACAUGUACCCCGAGACGUGGUCGGGCAUGUUGGUCGGCGCUCUGUGUGCCCUGGCUGGUGUGCUUACCAUCGCCAUGCCUGUGCCCGUCAUCGUCAACAACUUCGGCAUGUACUACUCGCUGGCCAUGGCCAAGCAGAAGCUGCCCAAGAAGAAGAACAAACACAUCCCACGAGCCCCACAGCCCGGCUCGCCCAAUUACUGCAAGCCUGAUGCUCUUGCCAUGGCAACCGCCUCUCCGCACAGGAUCAUGGGUAAUGUGCUGGGUGGCAGCAUAGCAGGGGACUGCCCUCUGGCACAGGAAGAGAUCAUCGAGAUCAACAGAGCAGACUCGAAGCAAAACGGGGACGCGGCUAAUGCAGCCCUGGCUAACGAGGACUGUCCUACAAUAGACCAGGUGCUGGGGCCGGAUGACAGGAGUCCGGCAACGGGGACCGGGCGCUACCCGCACGACCGCGCCUGCUUCCUGCUCAGCGCCGGCGAGUUCCGCACCACCGACAGCAAUGUCAGGAAAGGCCGGCGCUACAGUGUCCGUAAUGUUACUAAAGUCUGACCUGAGAGAACUAUUCUGACAGUCCACUGCUUAUCAGAUAUAUGCAAAAAGAAGCUGUAACUGUGAAGUAAUCUAGAACAGGAAAAAAAAAAAAAACAAACAAAAAAAACAAACCCUCCUUUCAUUUCUCCCUUCACGUGCACGCUCCGCGCUCCUGAAUGAACACCACACCCAACCUUUCGAGCUCCACCACCGCCGCCACCACCACCACCACCACCACCAACUCCCCCCUCCUUCGCGUAACGACGGUUCCUUCCUCAGGAAACCUCUACUGACUUAUUUAUUUCUGCCUUCGUGAUUUUUCUGCAUAUUCUCUUUUCUUGCAUCGAAUUCUGUUCUUUUCCUUUCCUUUAUUUUUCUCUCCCUUCUCUCUUUCUCUCUCUCAGUAUGCAGAACAGAUCGUUCUCAUUUCGUCCGCAUGUCAGCAGGCCGCGUUACCUGUCGCCGCCCGCCGGAAGCUCGUAGCCGAACGCGUCCGAGCACGGACUCUUUUUAUUUUUUCCUGAUUAUAUGUAGCACACACUAUCAUGUAGAUCAGUAGCAGGCGUUUAGUCGGGUUUAUUUUUUUAAACAGAAACAAGGAUCGCUACCGAGCAAUGAUAGAGCGUUAAAAUAAAAAAUGAAUGAAAAAAAAAACGAUUGUCUCGAGCAGUGCAUGUUGCCUCGCGUGCUAACGGAAUGCUUCGUGCUGCAUCCUUGUGCAUCUUGCGAUAUAUUUUUCUUUUCAUUUCUUAUUAUAUGCAUUUAAAAAAAAAUUAAAGAGCUACGUUCAGGGGAAAAGGGGAAAACAACACACACAACUCAAUUCAUCCCAAACACCCUAAAAUAAUAAUAAUAAUAAUAAUAAUAAUAAUAAUAAUAAUAAUAAUAAUAAUACAAGGAGGUAAGCACAAGAAAGGGCGGCCAUUUUCUUUUGAAUGUAGCCGUGUAACAAUUUCUUUUGACAUAAUCAGAAAUUACCCAGAAUCCUCUAGCACGUCUCUCACGUCACUACUCAGGUACUGUAGCUCUCUCUGUCUACGUCGGUCUUUUAUCAGUGCUUCCAAAAAAAAACAAACAACAACAACAACAACAAAAAAAGAUGUCAACGCUUUGAAGACAAAAACGGAAAACGAACGAGGAAAGAGUUCGUAGAAACGAACGUGUUCACACGUCUUCCUUUCCUAGAGUCCUCGCACUUCUUCUUUUUUCUUAAACGAUCCGUCAAUAUUUUAUUACGUUUGUUUUGCCCUGAUUUAUGCCAUUUCCCUCCUCAUGCCUUUCAGUCACUUCUCUUUUUUUUUACUAUUAUUAUUAUUUUCCUUUUAAUUUACGAUAUUGAAAAAAGGAAAGAAAGAAACGUCAACCCGUGAUCUGCCCUUAAAAAAAAAAAAAAAAAAAGAAAGAGUGGGAAUGAACAAGCGAAAGACAAACAGACAGAGUGUAUGGUGUGUGUGUGUGUGUGUUUGGGGGUUGGGUGGGGGGAUUAAACGAGUGUGUGUUGAAAGCGGAUCCUACGAACGGCACCGGGAAAUGGAGGAGAGUUGAAUGGAGGGGAAGAAGGAAAAGAGAAAAAUUGAGGAGGAAGGAAGGAAGGAAGGAAAGAAGGAAGGAAGGAAGGAAGGAAGGAAGGAAGCUGAUCGGCUUCUCAGUUGCUGAGUUUCUGAACUGUCCGCUUUCCCUCUAAAGACGAAUCCGGCUCCGCAGCCUAAAAAAAAAUCAAACUCCAUAAAGUGAGAGAAAACACCAGUAGAAGAGAAGAGAAGAGAAGAGAAGAGGAAGGAGACAGAGCGGUGCUAAUACAGCUGGAGGAACUCUGUCCUGUCUCUCGGCUGAUAGACAGAACCCCUGAAUGGAUCGACACCAAGCACAGACUCAUCCCUCCAUCAUGAUUGCGGGACUUCACACGUUCUUCCAAACCGGACAGUGGUUUUAAUCUGGGCUUCUACUCGCACACAUAUCAGUCCGACGCUGCGGAACGACCUCCUUUCCUCCUUUGCACUCUUUUUGCGGUUCCAUCUGUUCUCUUUGCAUCGAAUCUUCUUUGAAAAAAAAAAAUAAAUAAAUAAAAUAACAAAAGAAACAUUAUUUGCAUGCACCACUACUGGGUGGAGGCUAAAGAUUUAAACUCAGACAAACAGGGAUUGCUCUCGCUCUGGACGCUCCACCGUCAUUUUAAGGGCAAAGAAAAUUCCAUGGAAGGUUUCCCAAGCUUGAUUCAACUCUAUGCAAUUCACCCACUCACUAUUUACUAAAAAAAAAUACGCCAAAUCAGCAGACGGCACUCAGCUUCAUCCUCUUCCCAAAAAGACAGAGGGUCAAGAGCCAGCGUCCGGUCCGGCGUGGACUCCCGCCUGCAACCGGGAACUCUCCUGUCACAUACUGCAGCUAAAAUAAAGCCUUCAUCCACGGACAAAUUCAUCACGUCACGUCCGGGACUCACAGGCGUGUGACUAUAAACGGUGCGCGGGAAAGACGCUUCGCAGAACUUCCAGUCUUUCUCGUGUCUCUCUUCAACAUCUCAGCGUUUCUCCUCCUCUGUAGCAGAACUGCAUGGCAUGAACUUACAAAAAAAAAUACAACAAAAAAAAAGACAAAACAAAAGAAAGAAAACAAAUCCAAAUCAUAAGGAGAUCUUAGAAACGCUUACAGAAACACGGAGAAACCGAGGAGACGUUUAAAAUCCCCGACCGAUUUGUCCGGACGGACGAGGACGAGACGGAGAACAAGAAUCUUACGCCUUUGACCUUCGACCCAGGGAAGAGGGUGGAGUUUUUCCACAUCAUCAGGACGGAUACGGAAACCCAGGGGGAGAACUUUGAACCUGGGGGGUGGGGGUGGGGAAGAAACACACAAUAGAAUAUGAAUGCAAAUUGAAAACAAACAAACAAACAAACAAAAAAAAAGAUGCAUUUUCUGACUUUGUUUACCAGCAUGAUAAAAGAAUUGCAUGCCUCUGCUUCGAAAGGUCCUCUCGCCCAGUUCCCCCUGAACAUACACACGGAUAAAAAAAAAGAACAACAAAACAAAAAAAGAGGGCUUGGAAUUAUUUAAAAAAAAAAAAGAGCAACAUCACGGGGAUUAAAUGCAGGUUUAUGUUAUAUGCAACUCAAUUUAGAAAGUUAUAUUAUUAAAAAGAAAAAGUUCUAUAUUUUUGUUUUACUACUAAAAACUGAGUACGGCAUAUAGGACUGCGAGAUACAGUCAGAGCGUAUUAGAUAUUAGAUUCCCCCAGAAACUGAUAUGGAAAAUAAAUUCCUGCUAUUUAAAAA